CCCGAAACCAGGUGAGCUACCCCGAGACAGCCUAUGUUAAUUUAGGGCUAACCCGUCUCUGUGGCAAAAGAGUGGGAAGAGCUCCGGGUAGAAGUGACAGACCUACCGAACCUGGUGAUAGCUGGUUGCCUGAGAAAUGGAUAGAAGUUCAGCCUCGCAUCCCCCGAUCCAAUAAAUAUAUCGUCAAGAUGCUCAGGGAGACAUGCGAGAGUUAGUUAAAAGGGGUACAGCCCUUUUAACAAAGGAUACAACCUUCACAGGAGGAUAAAGAUCAUAAUAUAUAAGAUAUACUGUUCUAGUGGGCCUGAAAGCAGCCACCUAAACAGAAAGCGUUAAAGCUCGGACAGAAAGAAGUUUAUUAUACUGAUAAGAAAUCUUAUUCCCCUAGCUGUAUCAGGCCAACCCAUGCCCCCAUGGAAGAGAUUAUGCUAAAAUGAGUAAUAAGAAGACACGCUCUUCUCCCGGCAUACGUGUAAACCAGAUCGGACCAACCACUGGAGCUUAACGAACCCAACCCAAGAGGGUAGUGUGAUUAAUAAAAACCUCAAGAAGACCUCACAUCAACUGAUCGUUAACCCCACACUGGAGUGCUAUCUCAAGGGAAAGACUAAAAGAGAGGGAAGGAACUCGGCAAACACAAGCCUCGCCUGUUUACCAAAAACAUCGCCUCCUGCAACUAGACUGAGUAUAGGAGGUCCAGCCUGCCCAGUGACUACGGGUUCAACGGCCGCGGUAUCUUGACCGUGCAAAGGUAGCGCAAUCACUUGUCUCUUAAAUAGAGACCUGUAUGAAUGGCUAGACGAGGGCUUAACUGUCUCCCCCCUCCAGUCAGUGAAAUUGAUCUAUCCGUGCAGAAGCGGGUAUAAAUAUACAAGACGAGAAGACCCUUUGGAGCUUAAGGUACAAAAUUCAACCACGUUAAACAACUCCAUAAAAGGCAAGAACUUAGUAGCAAUGAAAUUUUACCUUCGGUUGGGGCGACCGCGGAGGAAAAACAAGCCUCCGAGUGGACUGGGCCAAACCCCUGAAGCCAAGAGAAACAUCUAGAAGCCGCAGAAUAUCUGACCAAAAAUGAUCCGGCCAAAGGCCGAUCAACGAACCAAGUUACCCAAGGGAUAACAGCGCAAUCCCCUCCCAGAGCCCGUAUCGACGAGGGGGUUUACGACCUCGAUGUUGGAUCAGGACAUCCUAAUGGUGC
rnacentral:rRNA from 1 species